GAGAGCCGUAUACGCGGGAACGUGUACGUACGGUUCGGAGGCGAGUGUUUGGAAACCUGCUUUAGUAAUAGAGUAAGGCGCCGGGCGCUUAGCCUAC
rnacentral:ncRNA from 1 species